UUGCUACUCUUUCUCACUAUGCAAAGGUAAAAGGUAAAAUGACAAAGCAGGGUGCCCUUUGGGGGGGCAGUGGCUUGUCUGGGAGCGUUGGCUGAACUGUGACUGAUGUUUACUUCUUUUUUAAAUGCAGAAGUAAGCAUGAUCUGCCUCACUAGCUGGUGUAAAGGCCUUCCACGAGAAAAGUGGAUAAAGAACAUAUUUAUAAGCAUUGUAGUCAGUUAUUCACCAAAGUUAAUAAAAGGUGCUGGUAGCAGGCUUCAAGACUCAAUUCUUGUAUUCAAAGAAGAUAUUCAGCAGAGGUGUUUUUAUUAGGAAUAGCUCCUAAGUGGGCCAUGAGACUGUCUGCCUGGCACAGAGACAAGAAAUGCUUACUUCCAACCUUGCACCCAGCAUCCUCAAUCACAUAAUGAUGAAGAGUAGAGCUCCAUCCCUCCAACAUGCUGACUCAUGUACCUCUGCUCAGCACAUAAGUCAGGGGCAUUUACGUCCUCCGUGAAGCAUAAAAAUACCUUAUUUUAUAGCUCACAGGCAA